AUAAUUAUCAUAAUUUUUAUUCGAUAGUUAUUAGAUACAGGCGAAUUUUGAAUUUUAGUCUUAAAAUAGUAGUUUGAUUGUUGAAUAUAUGUGAUAAAUGGUGAUGUAAAUCUUAUUUAAAAUAUGAGCGCACCGUGGCCGAUACAUCGUGGAGUAUUACAUCGAAAACAGUUCGAAAAAUCGCGAGUGAGAAAUACGUCGGGAGAAUCUCGGACGACAGAGAGGAGAGGAAAGAUCGAUGACGAAGAGACAAAAUGAGCGAGACCGAUGAGCCGUCCACAAUACCGAUCAUUGUAUCGCGAAGUCUCGAGAGGGAAAGUACCAUUGUAUUUUCCGAUACUUGAAGGGCAUA